CACUAGGGAUGGGACGGUGCGGCGGGUGGGAGCGUCCCAAAGUAGUAGUCUCUCCUUUCUGGCUUUUCCCCUAGACUCCAGUCGAUACGCGGCGAACGGGGCGGCGGAGGGCAGACGGCUCGAGGGCGGUGCGCGGUAGCGGGAACGGACUACGGAGCAUACUCCUAACUCACCACGAAGUCUUCUCUGCUGGCUUAUUCGUCGAGGGUUAGAAUAGAAACCCUCGACGUCAAGGGUUAGCUUCGUCGUCGUCGUCGUCAUCGAGGAAAAGCUCGACGGUAGGCGUUAGGUUCCUUAGUUCGCCGAGGAGAGGCUCAGAGGAAAAAAGUCACCGUUAGGCCUUAGUUUCGUCAGGAAGGGCCCGACGUUAGUCUUUGUCCAGGACAAAGGUCAAAAUUAUAUUCAGAGGCUCGACGACGAUAUUUAGACCGGACCGCCGUUGGCACCAUGGGCGGUCAAAAUUCUCCUAUGCUAGUUGAGGGAAGCCGCCGGCUGACGGUCUAGCUACCGGUUUGGUAGGCACCUGCCGGAGCCGUUUAGGAGGGAGCUAUACCACCUCCUGUUACCUCAACUGUCCGAGUCAUUCAACGGACUACUGCAAAACGAGUUGUAACACCUCGCUGAACUAUAGCGACUACGACGUGCUCGGUGGUAGGAGAGGUCUGCGACCUUCGUGUAGGGACGAUAUGAGAGUUUCUAACGAUAUUACCAACGAAGAAAAGUUGGGUUCGUACUUCCACCCUUCAAUUGGAGUCUACUAUAUCAAGCCCGGUUAUGGUUACACGACCUUCGUUGGUCCUCGUAUGACCUUUUCUCCCGACGUUCAGGUGUGUGGUAAGUGGACGACGCGUACGUUAAGAUGAACCCUCUACUCAGGUAAAAGUAACCAGUCUGACAACGGUUGUGGUAUCGUUGUGUGUUCCAACGAAGUCAACUCAAGUGUUAGAACUGGUUCCACGCGUGUUUAAAAUGGUUAUUACUGGACGAGUGAGUACCCUCCGUCAAGUACAGUAAGGAACUAAGCACAGGUUUGUGUAAACCACCAGAACGUGCGGAGUGCGAUCUCUUAAACUCCAAUCCUCUUAGUCCGAAAGGGUUUUAAAAGUCAUAUACGUUCGUUGAGCUCAAGGAGACGGAGAUGGUGACACUAUACCCGUAACUCAGAAACGACCUUCACCUUGUGGGUGUUGAGUCACUUGACCACUAACGGGCAUCGCACGAAUAAUUCUCCCAACUAGACUUCACCCAUGGUUUUGAGUGGCAUGACUUUAAAUUAUAUAAAGCUAGAGUUCUACUGGGGAAGACAGAACCGAUACAGGGUGACGAGGUCUGACACUCGUAGUAAUUAUGACCAAAAAGAACCGUGUUCUACGAGUCCUAUUCACUCAACGACCCAUUUUGGCGGUAUUCGUUGGAGGUAAACUUGAAGUUUUCACUUUUCUAAACCCAGUUCGGCCUUCCAGCUUCUGUUAACAAUGGUCACAAUGUGUUCGAUUCCGAACACUUAAACUAAUUGUAAAGACUUCUUACGCUAGACAGAGCCUAUUACAAGUAUGAAGUUCCACGUGGGUGGGAAUUCCUUGAUGCGUAGAACCACGCCCUGGUAAAUACACUUUACCAUUGCCCCCUCGCCUCUUUUUUCAUACGGAAAUCGCUCCUCUUCCUGUUCCCUGAUCUCACCCUUGGUAGACGUAGACUAAAGUUCGUGGUGUUGGAACGGCUCGAGUCUUAGAUACCCUCCAAACUUCGUCUUCUUUUAUAGCACGCGAAACAGUCCUUACAGUACCUUCGUCGCCACUUAGAGCUCCUGUAUUUUGAAAUAUUCUCAGGUCACACACUCUUAACGUUCGUGUACGAGGUCCUCACCUGCAACUUCCUCUUCAGCAACGAAUCGAUGUUUGAGUCGUUCCCCUACGACAGAAGCGAGCAGGCCUAAGUCAAGGGUUCAAAUCCCUUAAAAAAAUGAACCGGUUUCGUGACGCGAACUCGACGUUCGACGCAAAAAAAACGCCCCGACGUUCGACGUCAACUGUCCUCAACAACAUACGCAGCUAAUUAACAGUGAAUCAGUUAGAAAAGUUAAUAGACACAAAACUCUAACAUGACUCAGCUCCUCCUAUUCCUCAUUGAGAACUGUAAUCACACUUCAUAAAACCGUUUACUUUCAAUACUACACAAUAAGCACCG
rnacentral:rRNA from 1 species